AUUGAACGCUGGCGGCGUGCCUAAUACAUGCAAGUCGAGCGGUAACAGGUGUAGCAAUACAUGCUGACGAGCGGCGAACGGGUGAGUAACGCUUCGGAAUCUGCCUAGUAGUGGGGAAUAACUAGCCGAAAGGUUAGCUAAUGCCGCAUACGACCUAUGGGUGAAAGCGGGGGAUCGUAAGACCUCGCGCUGUUAGAUGAGCCGAAGUCGGAUUAGCUAGUUGGUAGGGUAACGGCCUACCAAGGCGACAAUCCGUAGCUGGUCUGAGAGGACGACCAGCCACACUGGGACUGAGACACGGCCCAGACUCCUACGGGAGGCAGCAGUAGGGAAUAUUGGACAAUGGGGGAAACCCUGAUCCAGCGACGCCGCGUGUGUGAAGAAGGCCUGCGGGUUGUAAAGCACUUUUAGUGGGGAGAAAAAGCUACGGGCUAAUACCCUGUAGUCUUGAUUUAACCCAAAGAAAAAGCACCGGCUAACUCUGUGCCAGCCGCCGCCGUAAAAC
rnacentral:rRNA from 1 species